rnacentral:rRNA from 1 species
CGCGAUGGGUGGAGAAGGAGAGGAAGAAGGUGGAGAGGAGGGUAGCCGCGACGGGUAGAGAGGGAGAGGAAGAAGGCGGAGGGAGUGGUAACCGCAAGAGAUGGAGAGGGGGAGGAAGAUGGAGUUCGACGGUCGUGAGGGUGUUCGACCGCUCGACGCUGCUGGCAGCUUGCCGUUGACGACGCUUCCAAGUCGUGGCCACACAGCUGGCCACAACACCUGCCCUCUUCGGUGACCGCGACACCUGUCCUCUCGGGUGGCCACCAAGCUGAAGCUGCUGUGGGUAACGGACCCGGGCCGAGUACCACCACGACCUUGAACGAGUACUGCACGACGUUAACGAACGCCCGGCUCGAUCCUUGUACCGCUACGGCCUUCGCUUCCGACGUCGGUACCUCUCGCCCCCGCCGGUACCGCUCACCUGCGUGCUCGCCAGCCGCUCGUGCCCACCGCCCGCACCACCGUGUCCACCGUUCGUUCGUACCCUUCGGCUGCUGUUCGCGUCCACCGGCUGCUCGCACGCUCUAGGUCACACACGCGUGCUGACGGAAAAGAAAAAAAAAGAAGCAUGCACAAACUGAAAAAUUCUCUUUCGUUAGACUGCCACUGCUUUCCAACAUAGCCUGCAA